UGUUUAGAAAAAAAAACCGAAAUCAAUUGAAUGGCGAUAAUAUAUCGAUAAUAAAAACGCCAAUUUGUGGCCGGCGAAAACCUAAUCAAUCAGCUUAUUUCCGAGUGACCCAUUGUGUUCUCAGAGUUCUGUAAUAAGUCGAACCAAUUUCGAGACGGGUUCGAGAGUAAUUUAGAAAUGAGCGCGGAGAAAAAAUCUGGUGACGAUGUGCCGAAGCUGCCCGGACCAUCAAUUGACGACGACGAAUGCACUAUUUGUCUGAUGGACAAAAUGAAUCCGGUGACGGUGGAGUGUGGACACAGUUUUUGUUUUGUGUGCCUCAGCCGAAUGUUUAGAGAAUCUAGUUCCAAUUGGGGUGGCCCUCGAAAAUGCCCACUGUGCCGCCGCGUGAUCUCAAUGGAUCUCCCUAAACCUUAGACUAAAGAACACGUAUACUGUAUAUGUACAUAUGUCUUGGCUUCCAAAAUAGAUGUGUAGUAUGUUCAUAUGUAUAUACAGUAUGCCCAUGGGCUACUCCCAA